UACAGAGGUCCCAAGCGUUGUUCGGAUUCACUGGGCGUAAAGGGUGCGUAGGCGGUCGGGUAAGUCUGAUGUGAAAUCUCACAGCUUAACUGUGAAACUGCAUUGGAUACUAUCCGGCUCGAGGAAUGGAGGGGAGACUGGAAUACUUGGUGUAGCAGUGAAAUGCGUAGAUAUCAAGUGGAACACCAGUGGCGAAGGCGAGUCUCUGGACAUUUUCCUGACGCUGAGGCACGAAAGCCAGGGGGAGCAAACGGG
rnacentral:rRNA from 1 species